AGCAGCCGCGGUAAUUCCAGCUCCAAUAGCGUAUAUUAAAGUUGUUGCAGUUAAAAAGCUCGUAGUUGGAUUUCGGGAUCAAUAUGUUGGUCGUGCCUCGGUACGUACUAGCAUAUUGGUUUCUCCUUUCUGAAGAACCAUGAUGUCAUUUAUUUGGUGUCGUGGGGAAUCAGGACUGUUACUUUGAAAAAUUAGAGUGUUUAAAGCAGGCUCACGCUUGAAUACAUUAGCAUGGAAUAAUGAAAUAGGACGUUUGAUUCUAUUUUGUUGGUUUCUAGGAUCGACGUAAUGAUUAAUAGGGAUAGUUGGGGGCAUUAGUAUUCAAUUGUCAGAGGUGAAAUUCUUGGAUUUAUUGAAGACUAACUACUGCGAAAGCAUUUGCCAAGGAUGUUUUCAUUAAUCAAGAACGAAAGUUAGGGGAUCGAAGACGAUCAGAUACCGUCGUAGUCUUAACCAUAAACUAUGCCGACUAGGGAUCGGAUGAUGUUAAUUUUAAUGUACUCACUUCGGCGUACCCG
rnacentral:misc_RNA from 1 species